rnacentral:lncRNA from 1 species
ACUUGCAAGAGGCGGUGCCACGCUCUACUUGUGCUCUCUCUCUUCUGUCAGCUCAGUCCCAACAACACUUGUCUGAAACUAAUCCAAACAAAAGCUUCUCAAUCACUCAACCAAGCCAAAACCUCAACCACUCUACAGGAGACUAUCAUCAGAUGCAGCCGUUGAGGAUCGAUCCUGGUAAGAAGACCAAAUCUGUUACUAGUUCUAGUUCAUGUAAUGGAAACGGAUCAUCCACGGUUGAUCUACUGCAACUGUCAUCACAUCUUCAGAGAAUCCAGCAACAACAGAGGACUUUCACUGAUGAUGUGAAGCAGGAAUAUAAUGAGCUUUAUUUCCCCUAGCUCCUAAUUAAAAUAAGGCAAAGCUAAGGCUGCUUGGUUUGGUUUGAUUAGUUUGGUGAUUUUACUGGAUUCGUGAGAUGGUUAGAUUAGGGGAAUGAAGAUCAAGUCUGGUUACAACUUACACAUGUUUUUUUUUUGUAACUGAUACUUGUUUAUUCUAUCUAUGCCUGCUUCCUUUGCAAGUCUUUUUUUUUCUUAUUUUUGAGACAAUUUGUAUAUAUAACGAUGUAAUGAAUAUACUUCAACAAAUAUCUGAUGUUUCAGUUUGGCCAGAGAGAUUGGCAACAAAAAGCGUCUUAUUCUUCCGUGAACGUCCUGAAUUUGAGAGCCAAGUGCGUGUUAGCAUCUAACAAAAUAUUCUGAAGAUAAUUAAUAAGAUGUACCUCAACAAAACCUAGAGUUUGAUCAAGUCCUUCUGUUGUCUCAGAGUUACAAGAUGCUUAUUUGACCAUAAACUUGUAGUUUGCAAACAUUACCUCAACUUCUAGUUUAAAUUUCCCCCACAAAACUAUACCAUCACUGAGAUUAAUUACCCACGUUGUCUCUAACAAUUCGACCCUUCAGUUGAUCAGCUGGAGACUACUAUUAUAUAUCCCAUAUCGAACACAGUUGUGAUCUUUGGACCGUAGAUAUUGAUGUGGCAUUAAUCUUUCACUUUUGAGCAAUUCUGGAGUGUGAAUUAUGUCUAUUAUUAAUAUGGUAUCAGAGCUAGGUUAAAAACUCAGAUAUAUCCUAUAAGGGGUUCAUUUUUUCUGUGGAUUCUGCAAUGUUGAGUUUGUGUUAUUUCUAUUGGAUCUUUUCCUAUCCACAUCGACAUAAUUGUGAUCUUUGGGUGUAGAAAUCUUUCACUCUUGAUCUAGUGUUUGGAUAUUAGUUAGGCCUAUAACUAAUAGCUACCAUCUAAUCAAAUGCUUUCGUGGUCUCCUUCUCCUUAUGUCUUAAUCUCCAAUUCAUCUUCCAGAUUUCGUUUACACAAUAAAUUAGUUUUGGCUGCUGGUUUCUGGCUAGAACUGGCCAUGGAGAAUAUGAAACCAGUGAGGAGAAAGUGAAAGUGGCAGCAAUAAGUUAUACUAUCUUUGUUUUAAAAUGAUCCAUAUUCUAGAAAAAGUUUUUGUUUCAAAAAGAUAGAUAUUUUAUGUUUUCAGUAUAUGUAAUAAUGAUAAAUAAUAAUAUUAAGAAAAGUAAUUGUGUCUAUUGAAUUUUGCUCGGCUACUAUUUAUGGAAAAUAAUUAAUCAUAAAAAUAUUAUAUUUAUAAUAAAAAUUUAAAAUGUUUUAUUAAUAAGGGUGAAAAUCUUAAAACAUAUAUCUUAUUGAAAUGGAGGGAAUAUUAUGUAUCUCUAUAAUAUUAUUUGAAAAGUUAAUUUUCUACGUAUCGAUUUCACAUUAAUUUUUACGAUGGUUAAUCACUGAGAUACCUUUAAUGAAUUAAAAUAUUAUUCUUAACUGGCACUAUUAAAAAUUAUUUAAUAAUUUAUCCCAAUUAAAUUAUUAAUUUUAGUUUCCUUUUUUUCCUAAUUUUCAAAUCAUGAAUAAUUAAAAGGAAAUAUUCAUAUAAUAAAAAAAUAUUAACAAAAAUAAAACACAUAUUUUGUAAAAGUAAAUUUAUGAGAAUGAAAAUAUAUUUUAUAUAUAAUGCGACUUCAUAAAAAGAAAAGUUUUUAAAAAUAGUUUUGAUGUUAAAAUAAUCAUCUUUGUAAAACAUAAUAUAAAAGAGCAUAAUAUUUUUUAAAUUAAUAAAAUAUUUUAUUGAUAUCAAAAUAUUUUCUCAGAUUAUUACAAAAGUAAAUUUAAUUAAAAUAUACUAAAAAUCUUUGAUGAACUUAAAGUAUUUUAUAAUUGCUACUGUUGAGAUCUUUAUUCAUUUUUUUAAAAAUUUUAAUUUUGAUUUAUAUUAUGUAUAUAAUUGUUUAUCAAUUACAUAAAUAAAAAUAUCUACAAAAUUUAAUGAAACCUAAUAUACCACUAACUGUGUUCAAUGCUUACUUUAAUGUUUUUAAUUUUGAUAUAUUAUACAACAUAAGAUACCUAUAAUAAAAAUAAAAAAUGUGAAUUUUUAUGGUUAGUAUUAUUCAGAUUCCUUUUAAUUUGUCUCAUAUAACUGAAGUAUAAAGUUACUAAUAAUUUUAAAAAUUAUUAUGUAGAUAUCGAUAUCAGUUCAUACGUUUUAAAUUUUUAUCGAUAAUGUCUGUUUAUAAACUUUGUACAUAUCAUCACUUCAGUGUUUAUACUAUUUUUAAUAAUCAAAAUAUAAAAUUGUAAAAAAUAAUUACGACUAUAAUUACAGUUUUAAGAUGAAGAACUAAAUUAACGUAAUAAAUAAAACUAAUCAAAAUUAGCUUAACUAGAGACAAGAGUAGUUAACUUCGAUUUGAAGAAACAUGUGUAACUCAAUAUAACCCGCAAAUGAGUAAUUUGCAUAAUACAAAUUUCUAUACCAAAAAUCAAAAGUUUAAAUACAAAAAAACAAAAUUAAUUAAAAUUUUAUUCUAUUUCAGCACAAAAAAAUACUAUGGUUGUUGAAAGAAAAAUAUUAUGAUUAUAUAUAAAGAAAUAAAUGCAAUCUGGUAUACUCAAGUAAUAACUAAAUCAAAUUAAUAUUAUAUAUCCAAAUUACAUGUAUAAGUAAAAUGACAUAAUAUUAUUUGUACAUAUCGUUUGUGUUGUAUGGUUUUAUGUUUGUAGCUCUAUGAACUUUUGUAGUCCGAAACUUUAAGUUUUUUAAUGAAAGUGUUGUUCCAAAAAAAAAAAUUGAGAGUUGUUAUUCAAAGUUUGGAGCUAGUAUCUUAUCACACAGUUCUGCUACUAAUUUAGCAGUAAAAAAAAUUGGACAUUUCGAGGAAUUUGCAAUAGAUUGUGAAGCUCGGUCAGUAAGAGACUGCAAUGAACGUCACUUUAGGGCAAUCUGUCCACUAUUAGUAGACAAAAUGUUAGUACAUUCGUUCGUUGCGAGUGUCGUAGUCGCCGCUGAAGUGGCUGGUGACGAGUUGUGAGUCGCAGUAUACGCUAAGUCUUUUUGCUUUGACUGCCUUCGCCAAUCGUAAGCCUGCGAUAAGAGAUUCGUAUUCCGCUUCGUUGUUGGAGGAGGCAAAGCCAAAACUGAACGAUUGCCUGAUUAACUCGCCAUUCGGUGACUGCAGUUGAACUCCUGCACCCGAUCUUUUGUUUGUUGAUGAAACGUCGACGUGCAGGAUCCAAUUUUGGCUUGGGAGGAUCAGAUCUUGUUCCAGUUCGGGUGCAAGUUCGAUCAGGAAGUUGGCUAGAAUCUGUGACUUAGCGGCUGUCCGAUUCUCGAAUACGAUGUCGUGUUUGCUAAGCUCGAUGGCCCACUUUGACAGUCGACCUUACUUAUUCGUGUUCUGAAUUACGGUGUGAAGGGGCUGGUUAGUCAGUACUUCAAUCUUGUGUGAUUGGAAGUAAGGGCGCAAUUUUUUCGUCGAAGUGAUGAAGGCGAGGGCCAUUUUCUCGAGCGUAGAGUAUCGCGUUUCCGGGUCAGUCAUUCGCUUCCUCGUAUAGAAGAUGGGUUUUUGUCCGCCCAUAUCCUCUCGGAUAAGCAAGCUGUUGACUACAUUAGAAGAUACUGCGAUGUAAAGAGAGAGAGUAUAUCGCCGACCUCUGCCUUAGAUAACACGGGAGGGUGGUGAGAUACUGCUUGAGCUGUCCUAAUGCCUCUUUGCAUUUCUCGUCCCAGACAAACUUCUUAUUUCCUCGAAGUAAUUCGUAAAACGGGAGACACUUAUCGGUGGAUCGAGAGAUAAAUCGGUUGAACGAUGCGAUUCUUCUGGUUAAAACGAUGGACCUCUCGGCUGUUCUUUGGGCUGGGAAAGUUGAGUAUCACAGUGAUCUGUUUAGGAUUCGCUUCGAUUCCUUGUUUGGUAACGAUAUAGCCCAAGAACUCGCCUGAGGUAACACCAAAGUUGCAUUUCGCUGGGUUGAAUUUCAUGUGUAUUCGUUCAGCGUCUUGAAACAAUCUUCUUCUGGUCAGGUUUCAUUUCCUCUCGGAGUUUGAUGAUGGCAAGAGAAGUUGCAGAAGACGAUUAGCUGGUCACAACGAGCGAAGAAGAAAGCCUUCUUUCUAUUUCUUACCCGGUAAGCGGCAUAAGCUUCUUCCUCAAGGUACUUAGUCUCUGCCUCUCCCUUCCCCAUCACUUAACUAUGUUUCUUUUAAUGACUUCUCGUUGGUCUUGCCAGAGUCGUUUCCUGGUAGCUUCUUGUACGACCACCGUGCAAGUAGUCUCGUGAGUUUCAAAGAUGAACCUAAGCCAGCGAUGGAAGCUUCUGGUGUAUCUUAUAUUUGGGACUUGCAAGAGGCGGUGCCACGCUCUACUUGUGCUCUCUCUCUUCUGUCAGCUCAGUCCCAACAACACUUGUCUGAAACUAAUCCAAACAAAAGCUUCUCAAUCACUCAACCAAGCCAAAACCUCAACCACUCUACAGGAGACUAUCAUCAGAUGCAGCCGUUGAGGAUCGAUCCUGGUAAGAAGACCAAAUCUGUUACUAGUUCUAGUUCAUGUAAUGGAAACGGAUCAUCCACGGUUGAUCUA